CAUUAAUCCUAGUCAGAUCAUUUUCCCUAUCAAGUGGAAUUUGACACAGAAUGAUCUUAAAAGAUACCUCAUACCUGCAUUAUACUUUGGGAAAGAAAAUAUGAAUCUUGUCCUCUAUUGAUUCCUCUUUCAUGAUGAUUUUCCAGUUCCUCCAUUGGAUUCUGUAUGAAGCUCCUGCUGGAUAUUUCCAUGUAUAAAGUAGGACACGAGAAGGCUACCUUAAAGAUGAAGAAAAAUGAUGAGAAGAGAACACAAGAAAAAGGACUCAGACUGGACAAGAUGGAAAGCAUUAUAGAUCUUACAACUACGUUGGCAUCUGCCAUCUGUAAACAGUAUGAUCAGCAUUAGGUG
rnacentral:lncRNA from 12 species